rnacentral:rRNA from 1 species
GACGAAGGGGGCAAGCGUUGUUCGGAAUUACUGGGCGUAAAGGGCGCGUAGGCGGUUCUUUAAGUCAGGCGUGAAAGCCCUGGGCUCAACCCUGGGAUGCCGGUCGAUACUGCCGGACUAGAGUUCGGAAGAGGCGAGUGGAAUUCCUGGUGUAGCGGUGAAAUGCGCAGAUAUCAGGAGGAACACCAAUUGCGAAGGCAGCUCGCUGGGACGUGACUGACGCUGAGACGCGAAAGCGUGGGGAGCAAACAGG